CAAUGCUAAAAUUACUGUUUAUUUACAUGGAGUCUGGUGGGUUUGGCGAUGGUGAUUUUGGUUUCAUGUUAAACAAAAAGGAUCUUACUCUUUAACAAAAACGUCUAUAUCUGAAGGGAUUCUUUCCAUAAUGUUUUCAGACACUUAGAAUAAUAACCUGAGUCUGUCAGUGGCAAAACGAGCACUUUUAGUGGACGGAAAUUG